GAGUAACACGUGGGUGAUCUGCCCUGCACUUCGGGAUAAGCCUGGGAAACUGGGUCUAAUACCGGAUAGGACCACGGGAUGCAUGUCUUGUGGUGGAAAGCGCUUUAGCGGUGUGGGAUGAGCCCGCGGCCUAUCAGCUUGUUGGUGGGGUGACGGCCUACCAAGGCGACGACGGGUAGCCGGCCUGAGAGGGUGUCCGGCCACACUGGGACUGAGAUACGGCCCAGACUCCUACGGGAGGCAGCAGUGGGGAAUAUUGCACAAUGGGCGCAAGCCUGAUGCAGCGACGCCGCGUGGGGGAUGACGGCCUUCGGGUUGUAAACCUCUUUCACCAUCGACGAAGGUCCGGGUUCUCUCGGAUUGACGGUAGGUGGAGAAGAAGCACCGGCCAACUACGUGCCAGCAGCCGCGGUAAUACGUAGGGUGCGAGCGUUGUCCGGAAUUACUGGGCGUAAAGAGCUCGUAGGUGGUUUGUCGCGUUGUUUGUGAAAUCUCACGGCUUAACUGUGAGCGUGCGGGCGAUACGGGCAGACUAGAGUACUGCAGGGGAGACUGGAAUUCCUGGUGUAGCGGUGGAAUGCGCAGAUAUCAGGAGGAACACCGGUGGCGAAGGCGGGUCUCUGGGCAGUAACUGACGCUGAGGAGCGAAAGCGUGGGGAGCGAACAGGAUUAGAUACCCUGGUAGUCCACGCCGUAAACGGUGGGUACUAGGUGUGGGUUUCCUUCCUUGGGAUCCGUGCCGUAGCUAACGCAUUAAGUACCCCGCCUGGGGAGUACGGCCGCAAGGCUAAAACUCAAAGGAAUUGACGGGGGCCCGCACAAGCGGCGGAGC
rnacentral:rRNA from 1 species